GACGAACGCUGGCGGCAUGCCUAACACAUGCAAGUCGAGCGAGCAGAUUCCUUCGGGGUGAAGCUAGCGGCGGACGGGUGAGUAACACGUGGGCAACCUGCCUCAUAGAGGGGAAUAGCCUUCCGAAAGGAAGAUUAAUACCGCAUAAGAUUGUAGCUUCGCAUGAAGCAGCAAUUAAAGGAGCAAUCCGCUAUGAGAUGGGCCCGCGGCGCAUUAGCUAGUUGGGGAGGUAACGGCUCACCAAGGCGACGAUGCGUAGCCGACCUGAGAGGGUGAUCGGCCACAGUGGGACUGAGACACGGCCCAGACUCCUACGGGAGGCAGCAGUGGGAAUAUUGCACAAUGGGGGAAACCCUGAUGCAGCAAUGCCGCGUGAGUGAUGACGGCCUUCGGGUUGUAAAGCUCUGUCUUCGGGGACGAUAAUGACGGUACCCGAGGAGGAAGCCACGGCUAACUACGUGCCAGCCGCCGCUGUAA
rnacentral:rRNA from 1 species